rnacentral:rRNA from 1 species
UGGGGAAUAUUGCACAAUGGGCGAAAGCCUGAUGCAGCAACGCCGCGUGAGGGACGACGGCCUUCGGGUUGUAAACCUCUUUUAGCAAGGAAGAAGCGAAAGUGACGGUACUUGCAGAAAAAGCGCCGGCUAACUACGUGCCAGCAGCCGCGGUAAUACGUAGGGCGCAAGCGUUAUCCGGAAUUAUUGGGCGUAAAGAGCUCGUAGGCGGUUUGUCGCGUCUGCUGUGAAAACCCGAGGCUCAACCUCGGGCCUGCAGUGGGUACGGGCAGACUAGAGUGCGGUAGGGGAGAUUGGAACUCCUGGUGUAGCGGUGGAAUACGCAGAUAUCAGGAAGAACACCGAUGGCGAAGGCAGAUCUCUGGGCCGUAACUGACGCUGAGGAGCGAAAAGGGGUGGGGAGCAAAACAGGCUUGAGAUAACCCUGGUAGUCCACCCCGUAAACGUUGGGAA